rnacentral:rRNA from 1 species
AUUGAACGCUGGCGGCAUGCCUUACACAUGCAAGUCGAACGGUAACGCGGGGCAACCUGGCGACGAGUGGCGAACGGGUGAGUAACGCAUCGGAACGUGCCCAAUAGUGGGGGAUAGCCCGGCGAAAGCCGGAUUAAUACCGCAUACGACCUACGGGUGAAAGCAGGGGAUCGCAAGACCUUGCGCUAAUGGAGCGGCCGAUGUCAGAUUAGGUUGUUGGUGGGGUAAAAGCCCACCAAGCCGACGAUCUGUAGCUGGUCUGAGAGGACGACCAGCGACACUGGGACUGAGACACGGCCCAGAGUCCCACGGGAGGCAGCAGUGGGGAAUUUUGGACAAUGGGCGCAAGCCUGAUCCAGCCAUGCCGCGUGCGGGAUGAAGGCCUUCGGGUUGUAAACCGCUUUUGUUAGGGAAGAAAUCUUUUGAGCUAAUACCUCGGAAGGAUGACGGUACCUAAAGAAUAAGCACCGGCUAACUACGUGCCAGCCGCCGCAGUAA